CAGUCGCCACGGGAAUACGAGGGGGGCAAGCGUUGUUCGGAGUUAUUGGGCGUAAAGGGCGCGUAGGCGGUUUGACAAGUUUGGUGUGAAAUCUAUGGGCUCAACCCAUAGCCUGCAUCGAAAACUGUCGGGCUUGAGUAUGGGAGAGGUGAGUGGAAUUUCCGGUGUAGCGGUGAAAUGCGUAGAUAUCGGAAGGAACACCUGUGGCGAAAGCGGCUCACUGGACCAUUACUGACGCUGAGGCGCGAAAGCUAGGGGAGCAAACAGGAUUAGAUACCCGCGUAGUCCCUGUCUCUUAUAC
rnacentral:rRNA from 1 species